GAGGAUAGUUCUGUUCAUCUUCAAAAGGUAGCUUCCAAAGAGGAGCAACAGUCACCUUUAAGAUCUGAUGGUUUACUGAGAGAUGGAUUGAAUCACAAGGAAUCAGCGAACCACUUGCUACCUUUCGGCCAAACUGUUUCUCAGAGUUUCUCCAAUAAGAAUCAUUCAGCCGCGGCUGGAACAGAUCAUCAACAACAAAUCAGUCCUCAGAUGGCUCCAUCCUGGUAUAAUCAAUAUGGAACUUUCAAGAACGGACUGGUGCAACCCGUGAAUAAUACAGGGAGACUCACCUCCUUGAACAUAGAAGAAAAAUCUUCUAAUGUUGGGAGUUCAGCUGAUGGCUCACAUAAUGUUCAAUCUCCAAAGCAGUUUAAUACGCAGCAAAUGUCAGGCUCCGCACCAGGAGCGGAGAUUCCCUCAUCUGAGUCAUUGCCUCAUGGUGCAACUCAUACACUUCUGAAGGUUGAUAAACCAAAGAAGCGCAAAACCGCCACAUCAGAGCUUCUAUCUUGGAAUAAAGAAGUCAUGCAUGGUUCCCAGAGGCUUAAGACUCUCAGGUGUGUGGCUUAUGAGCACUAAUAUUGAUUUUUAAUCUUUCAUAUAGAUUACCGUAUUAAUCUACUAUACUCUUUACAGUGAGGCGGAGGUUGAUUGGGCCAGAGCAACUAAUCAAUUUGCUGAAAAGGUGAGUUUCCUCAUUACAUACUUUCUCGCCUGUCUCGUUGUCCAAUGCUGUUGAAUAAGUUGAUGGCUUAUGUUCGCACAGGUGGAAUAUGGGAAUUUACUUGAGGAUGGCCCACGACUCAGAUCAAAGAGAAGGCUUAUAUAUACAACACAACUCAUGCAACAACUAUUUCGCCCGCCUCCUGCUAGGGUAAUAUCUUUGAUUGCUAGCUCAAACUAUGAGUUUGUUGCAUAUACUGCUGCAAGAGGUGCACUAGGAGAUACAUGUAGCUCCACUUUUACUGAUAGGAACGAAUGCCUUUUGCCCCAGAACAAAUCAAACCCGUAAGGAUAUGUACUGUUAUCCUUGAAAUGCUGGAGAGUUUGAGGUUAUGUAUUGACACAAACUUAUCCACUCUUGUGUAGGGUGUCUGAGAGAAGGAAAACUGAAACAAUCAGUGACCAGUACAUCUCCAAAGCUGCUGAAGAUUUCAUUAGCAGGUCACAGAAACUAGAAAAUAACUUUGCAGGGUAAAAGACCAUGCCUAUCUCUCUCUAGUAAUUGAUUUUAGUUCUUAAUGGGUACUCGUUAUGGCGGCUUGAUCUCGUGAACAUCUGUUUUUUCUUUUUCUUUUGCAGACUACAGAACGGAUCAACAAUUGCUGACUUGAUCGUGGAAGUCCAGGAUCUAGAGAAGUUUGCAGUGAUCAAUCGUUUUGCGAAGUUCCACCCAACAUCCUCAUCUACAGACCGGAACGUGAGUUCACUUAGGUUAAACCCACAAAGAUAUGUUACUAUAGCUCCAAUGCCUCAGAAUGUUCCAGACAGGGUACACUGUCUCUCUCUCUAACCAUUGAUGAAUCCAUCAUAUUAUUCUGUUUUUGGCCAGUAGUUCCCAUUCAUAUGUAUCUCGUGCACCAGAUGUUUGUAUUUCUUGGGUGGGUAUGAGUUAGUAGUUGGUCAGGAUUCUGAGAACUGUGAAGGUCUCUAUUGUUAAGAAGCCGGAGAUUUCCUACUAGACAUGAAGAAUUAAUGUAUUCAUGAUCAUAUAUGAUUAUUGCAAGUCAGAAUAUUUUGUAUACUUAGUAAAGAAAAAUUGCUCAUAACAGAAAAUCUAAUAAGGUUACAACCUAUGGUUUCCAGUAAACAAAACAUAGCAAUAUAAUUUCAACAAAGCUAAGAUUCUAAAAAUCUCUUCCUCUGUCUCUUAAGUCACUUAGAGCUUUGUAGAAGCAGUCAAGCUUUAAAGUCACAGAAACUUAACCAGACGGCACACUAAGGAAUAGCUUUCAAACUUUAGAAGGUGGGUCAAAUUUCUUCCCCGACCAUUGCUAAUAUCUCAUCCAUCCUGCAACAAAUAUUCAACACAGGCACAUCAGAAGAGUGGAAUUCGAGCUAGUACCGAUGAACCAACCUAGUCGAAGAAUAUGCAUAAGACUAAAGAAUGGAUUUGACGAACUAAACCGUCCAUAUGAAAACAUGCAUUGAUGUACAUACUCAAAAGGCUGCAUAUGGGCCAUUGGUGGAUUUAGACCUUGUUACUAUCCAGGGCAGAAAUGAAACUACUAACAUAAGUAUAAACAAAAAGAUCCAGUGCAGAAAUGAAAACUACUAACAUCACAAUACUAAAAGCCCGAUAUACAGAGCAGAGAGCACGCCACGUAAGAUAGUUAAUUCAGGCCAAUCAGAAACAUGUAUUUUGACACGUCAUAAUCGCUGGACAUUUUGUGUGGGCUAUGUAAAUUUUUUUAUUCGGCCCAUCUCCACCCGCCCAAAACCUUUUUCGUGCCAAGUUUUGCAAUUCUCAUCUCUGGGACUCUUCCAGCUCGUCUUCUCCAAAUCUCUGAGCUUAUGCCCUAACGUCCUUAGAUCUCAUGUUCUUGAAGUCUCAUCUGGAGCCGACAUAGUUGAGAGCGUCAACACUUACGCUCGCCAGAGAGGGAGAGGUGUCUCCGUGCUCAGUGGUAACGGCACGGUGGCUAACGUCGUUCUCCGUCAGCCGGUGAUGAUUCAUGGGAAUAAUUGCGGAACUGGAGCCGGAGUUGGAGGGGUAAACAUGGAAAGUUUGACAUAAUUCCAUCACUGGUACGGUGCUUCUGCCGCCCACGCCGCCGGGAUCAGGUAGGUUGUCAAUCCAAGAAUUACUAUGACUUUAAAUAAUAAAGAGAGAACGUGUAUUUAUUUAUUUAUCAAUGACCCCACCUUUAUAAAUUAGUAAAUUUUAACGUCAACAAUGCAUAAACGUAGGUUCGGUCAUGUAAAUAUAAUUUUUUAUACUAUCUAACUUAAAAGUGAAGAUUACAGGCUAAAAAUAAAAGAUGCAAUUUUAGUUACUAACUCUGCCAAUUUAAAAUAAUCUUUUUUGCACCAAAUAAAAAAACUCAGAACAAUAAACUUAUUGUAACACAUAUAAAACUACUAAAAAAACUUUUUAACAAAUUCAGAGAAACAUCAAACAUAUAAACAUACCUUCAGCCAUUUGAACACUAAAAAUAACGCUCAUAAACUCACCACAAUUUAACCAGUUUUAGUCACCAAAGCGACUUCCAGUUUACUAAAAAAACCCACGAAACAAUACACAAUUUAACACAAAGUCUCACACCUACUGCACAGUUUCAAUAACAACUUUACAAACUAUUGCAAAUCCUUGGCAACUUAAAGGGUAAUAACAAAAAAAAUCAAUAUCCCCGCGCUUGCGCGGGGGUUGGCCUCUAGUUUGAGUAAUAUUGUAAUAAAAUGGUUUGUAAUGUUCAAAGUUAAAUAAGCCUUGUAGUUAAUUUUUAUUAUAUAUGUAUUUUGUAAACAUGUUUAUUUGAAAUAGUACUGAUGUACAAAUGAGAAGGAAAAAAAUAAAGAGACUUUUAUUUAGAGAACAUUUGGUCUAAUAACAAAACCAAAGCCAUCGCUAAACCGGUGUCAAAAUCUGGACUAACAACCAGAUCAAAAACAUCUGAACCAAACCGGACUCCUUUAGUUCUGGCCUCUUUUCUUUUGAUCUCCACCACUGUCCGGUUUGAUGGGACGUGCAUUAUCUUACACGAUUUACAUCUGUACGAUCCUUUGAUGACGUAAGAGUUCUUCUUAUCGAACGGCGCUGAAUAUACGUACGCCAAAAUGUUGGAAUUGGUGCUCAAAAUAUUCAUCUUCAAGUUCUUCCUCAUGUACCAGAUUGGGCUCUUUGGUACUUUUGCUUCGCCAUUAGUAUAUCCAUUGGUUUUUGGCGUUGUUCUAGUAAAUCUGAAUCCCUCUGAACAUUCUUUUUGGCUUCAUUAUGGCAGGGACAUGUUUUACAAGGCAUAGGAUCAGAAAAUUCACCUACUACAUCUGCUUCAGCCGACAGAAGCGUUGAUAUGUGUAAUCAAGUGAAGAAUUCGUCAAGGUACUUUUCCUUUGGGUUGAAAAGGUUUAGUUUGUCAACUAACUAGCAGAGUACUGUUUUCACAAAUAUUCAUUGGGGAUGUAUUUUCUUACUGUGGUCAUUGAGUAAUUCUUAUUCACUAUUUGCUUGCAAUUGCCUUUCUGAAUUUUUUUUUUCCUGUGCAGGCAGACUAUGCUUGAGCUUCUUCACAAGGUGGACCAGCCGGAUGAGCAUUCUGUGGAAAAUGGUGGUCAAUUUCGUCAUAGUCAGUCAUCUGCUUCUCAGGGGUUUAGUUUACAGCUGGCUCCGCCAUCUCAACCAGCUCCCUCACCUGAUAAUGUGCAGUUUUCUAUGAAUUCUUUGCAGCCAUUGAAUUCACUUCAUAUUGCCCCUGAAAAAGGACCAACAAGUCAAUCAAGGUUUGCUCCAUGGGCAUCUAAUCAAUCUUUUCCACAGCAUUCCACUUAUCAAGGAGAAAGCAACAACGCCUCUGGUUUCCCAUAUUCCAAAGGGUAUCGCCAAAAUCAACUGAUGCCUGUUGAUACUCGACAAUUAACUUCUAACCAUUUAGUCAGUUCAUCCUCUGAGUUGUCAACCCUUCAAGUGAAAGAAAGAGAUCAAAGCAGUGACUAUUCAGCACAAACACCUUCCCUGCUAAAUCCUACGACCCACAACAACAAAGGAGAUUCAGCUGAAGGGUUUCGUAUGCUGUCUGCUCCUCAGCCUCAGGUUGUAUUCAGUUCGCCUCAGCAGAGUUCCUCUUCUGGUAUGAGAUCUGACUCAGGAGCCGGUAUUUCAGCUUAUGCUACCUAGAUCCACAUACCAGGCGAGAGCGAUGUUCUCAAAUACUUCAGCUCCAGGUUCAAAUGAUAGCCCAAAUUUUGAAUGUUUCCAGCAAGAUGAUCCACGCGAGAGAAACGUUUCAGCGCAGGAGAAACUCGAUCAGAUGAAGGGUUCUGGUCCACCAGAAAAAUCAUAUAUAAAAGCGCCUGGAAAUGUUUCUGGGUCACAGAAGUCGACAGCCUUAGAUCCAACAGAAGAAAAGAUUUUGUUUGGUUCGGAUGACAAUUUGUGGGAAGCAUUUGGAAACGACACUGAUAUGAGCUUGACAGGAAACCUGAUGUCCAGUAGUUCUGACCUUAAUGAUGCAUGCCCCUCUUUGAAAGGUGGGGGUUGGAGUGCUCUUAUGCUAUCUGCUGUAGCAGAAACAUCCAGUAAUGACGCAGGCUUUGGUAACAGGGUCCAGAAUCUUGGCGUCAAGGCUUCAAAUGCACCAAGUGAGAGACUCCAGAGUGAUUCGGGCUCUAUUCAAACGAAUGAGGGUAUUGAAGAUAGAUUUGGUAUUUGGAAGGCUGCUUCUAAUCCAAACUUAGUUGCUCCUGUUGAACAGAAGAAUCACUUCACCCAAAAUCUACAAAUGAAGGCAAACUAUGGAUUUGGCAUUGCCACUGCGGAAAACAAGUCUACUGCUUCUAGGGAUGUCCAGGAAAACCAACAGCAUUUGGGUAAUAACUCUGUGGAGAAAGCUACCCCUCAAGUGAAUUAUAGAGAUGGCAGUCAGAUUAGUCGCAAAUUUCACUAUCAUCCCAUGGGUAAUACUGGUGUCACUGAUGAGCCUUAUCGAGAAAAAGUUGCCCAUUUGCCACCCACACUGGAGCAGGUUUCUGCAGGAAAUCAAGGCUAUUUUGGGCAGCCAAAGUCUCUUAGUCAGCCACCUAUGAACAUGCAAAUUGACAGGGUAAAUUUUUAUCCAUUGGUUUUUGGCGUUGUUCUAGUAAAUCUGAAUCCCUCUGAACAUUCUUUUUGGCUUCAUUAUGGCAGGGACAUGUUUUACAAGGCAUAGGAUCAGAAAAUUCACCUACUACAUCUGCUUCAGCCGACAGAAGCGUUGAUAUGUGUAAUCAAGUGAAGAAUGCGUCAAGGUACUUUUCCUUUGGGUUGAAAAGGUUUAGUUUGUCAACUAACUAGCAGAGUACUGUUUUCACAAAUUUUCAUUGGGGAUGUAUUUUCUUACUGUGGUCAUUGAGUAAUUCUUAUUCACUAUUUGCUUGCAAUUGCCUUUCUGAAUUUUUUUUCCUGUGCAGGCAGACUAUGCUUGAGCUUCUUCACAAGGUGGACCAGCCGGAGGAGCAUUCUGUGGAAACAAAUGUUUCCAAUAUUCCUGAAUCAACACCCUCUGCAGAAAAUGGUGGUCAAUCUCGUCAGAGACAGUCAUCUGCUUCUCAGGGGUUUAGUUUACAGCUGGCUCCGCCAUCUCAACCAGCUCCCUCACCUGAUAAUGUGCAGUUUUCUAUGAAUUCUUUGCAGCCAUUGAAUUCACUUCAUAUUGCCCCUGAAAAAGGACCAACAAGUCAAUCAAGGUUUGCUCCAUGGGCAUCUAAUCAAUCUUUUCCACAGCAAUCCACUUAUCAAGGAGAAAGCAACAAUGCCUCUGGUUUCCCAUAUUCCAAAGGGUAUCGCCAAAAUCAACUGAUGCCUGUUGAUACUCGACAAUUAACUUCUAACCAUUUAGUCAGUUCAUCCUCUGAGUUGUCAACCCUUCAAGUGAAAGAAAGAGAUCAAAGCAGUGACUAUUCAGCACAAACACCUUCCCUGCUAAAUCCUACAACCCACAACAAUAAAGGAGAUUCAGCUGAAGGGUUUCCUAUGCUGUCUUCUCCUCAGCCUCAGGUUGGAUUCAGUUCGCCUCAGCAGAGUUCCUCUUCUGGUGUGAGGUCCGACUCACGAGCCGGUAUUUCAGCACUGCAACAUCGGUUUUGGAACCAGCUAUCUAAGCCUCAGCCAGAUAUAUUACGGCCGCAUCCAGUUACCAAUAGCCACGUAGAAGACAGCUUCUCAAGGCAGGAGAAGAGAAAUCAAUUAUCCUCUCAAAAUGGAGGAGACACGUCAUUAAGUGGAAGGGGCACGAUGAAUAUGCAUGAGUUGCAAGGUAAAGAUAUGGGUGCGAAACAAACAUCUGAUGUUGCUUCGAUGUUCUCCAGAAUGGUGCAGAGCAAUCAUCAAACCUUUGAUCGCUCUUUUCCUUCAAACAACCUUCCGAAAGAUAAUAUGCGUCACGAUGAGCUUAUGGCUGAAAAUGGGGAGGCUGACGCACCCAAGAUGACUGUGAAGAGAGUCGAGGAUAGUUCUGUUCAUCUUCAAAAGGUAGCUUCCAAAGAGGAGCAACAGUCACCUUUAAGGUCUGAUGGUUUACUGAGAGAUGGAUUGAAUCACAAGGAAUCAGCGAACCACUUGCUACCUUUCGGCCAAACUGUUUCUCAGAGUUUCUCCAAUAAGAAUCAUUCAGCCGCGGCUGGAACAGAUCAUCAACAACAAAUCAG
rnacentral:lncRNA from 1 species